UCCUUGAUGGCUCAGAUGGAUAGAGCAUCUGCCAUGUAAGCAGGAGAUCCCGGGUUCGAGUCCCGGUCAGGGCA
rnacentral:tRNA from 1 species